rnacentral:misc_RNA from 1 species
AAAAUAAUCCUACCCUUUGUGAAUUUUGUUUGUUUGAAUAAUUUUUUUUUUUAAAAAAUUAUUGGAGUCUUUCCCUUUAGAGUUUGCUUUUGAGUUUGUAAAAGAAUUCGAAAACAUCUAAAGGGGAUGGUCAAUAAUUUUUUUUGAAAAAAGACAUUUUUUAAAAUUAAACUUUUUGUAUUCAUUUGUCUAAAAAUUAUUUUUAUAAUAUAAAAACAACUUUUGACAAUGGAUCUCUUGGUUCUCGCAACGAUGAAGAACGCAGCAAAAUGCGAUAAGUAGUGUGAAUUGCAGAAUACGUGAAUCAUCGAAUCUUUGAACGCAUAUUGCACUCUUUUUAGUUUACUAAAAAAGUAUGUCUGUUUGAGUAUCAGUAAAAUAUUCUCAUAAAAAUCAUUGUGUAUUUUUAUGGUUAUGAGUGUUUUACAACGAUACAAGUUGUUUCACUUUAAAUUUUUUUUUAAUAUUGAAAUUUUUCUAAUUUUAAUAAUUAAAGUUGGAUAAAAUUUUCCCGUCAAAAGGAAUAACCUAAACAAUUUUAAAUGAUUAAUUUUAGCAAAAUUUUCGAAAAAAAGGAAAAUUUUUAUUAAAAUAACUUGAUCUCAAAUCAGAUAAGAGUACCCGCUGAACUUAAGCAUAUCAAUAAGCGGAGGAAAAGAAACUAACAAGGAUUCCUUAGUAACGGCGAGUGAAGCGGGAAGAGCUCAAAUUUGAAAUCUUCAAGGUUUUACCUUGACGAAUUGUAGUUUAAAGAAGUGUUUUCUACUGAAGUUUUGGUAAAAGUUCUUUGGAAUAGGACAUCAUAGAGGGUGAGAAUCCCGUAUUUGACCAUUAUUUUCAGCUUUGUGAUACACUUUCAAAGAGUCGGAUUGUUUGGGAAUGCAGUCCAAAAUGGGUGGUAAAUUUCAUCUAAAGCUAAAUAUUGGCGAGAGACCGAUAGCGAACAAGUACCGUGAGGGAAAGAUGGAAAGAACUUUGAAAAGAGAGUUAAACAGUACGUGAAAUUGUCAAAAGGGAAGCGUUUGACACCAGUGUUGUUUUCUCGAAAAUCAAUUAAAAAUGGCUCGAUUUUGUAUUGCUGAGACCUUAAAAGCUCACUGCACAUUUUUCGUGUCUUUUUUAAUGCACUUUUCGUUUAACAAGUCAACAUCAGUUUCUUUUGUUGUAAAAGGGUCAUUGGAAGGUGGCUUUCCUUUCGGAGAAAGUGUUUAUAGCCUAUGGCCUCUGCAAUCGGAGAGACUGAGGUCUGCAGCGUAGACUCUUCGGGGUUAGAUACAUUUGUGCUAAGUUAUAGCUUUUUAUAGACAACUUGUUGACUAUAAUUAGUCUUGUAGCUUACUCGCUUAUGCUAUUUUACCUACGCUUAGGAUG